rnacentral:rRNA from 1 species
GACGAACGCUGGCGGCGUGCUUAACACAUGCAAGUCGAACGGAAAGGCCCUGCUUGCAGGGUACUCGAGUGGCGAACGGGUGAGUAACACGUUGGUGAUCUGCCCUUCACUUCGGGAUAAGCCUGUGAAACUGGGUCUAAUACCGUAUAGGAGCCAUUUUUAGUGUGAUGGUUGGAAAGUUUUUUCGGUGUAGGAUGAGCUCGCGGCCUAUCAUCUUGUUGGUGGGGUAAUGGCCUACCAAGGCGGCGACGGGUAGCCGGCCUGAGAGGGUGGACGGCCACAUUGGGAAUGAGAUAAGGCCCAGACUCCUACGGGAGGCAGCAGUGGGGAAUAGUGCACAAUGGGAGCAAGCCUGAUGCAGCGACGCCGCGUGGGGGAUGACGGCAUUCGGGUUGUAAACUCCUUUCGCUAGGGACGAAGCUUUUUGUGACGGUACCUAGAGAAGAAGCACCGGCUAACUACGUG